rnacentral:rRNA from 1 species
UACGUAGGGGGCAAGCGUUGUCCGGAUUUAUUGGGCGUAAAGAGCGUGUAGGCGGCCGUACAGGUCAGCUGUGAAAACUCGAGGCUCAACCUCGAGACGUCGGUUGAAACCGUACGGCUAGAGUCCGGAAGAGGAGAGUGGAAUUCCCGGUGUAGCGGUGAAAUGCGCAGAUAUCAGGAAGAACACCUAUGGCGAAAGCAGCUCUCUGGGACGGUACUGACGCUGAGACGCGAAAGCGUGGGGAGCGAACAGG